CUUUCUCUUUCCUUUUCAUUUCUUCUCGAUCCGUUCCCCCAUCUCACGCUGCUCGGCUCGGCGCCUAGGGUUUCCAGGCCCGGCGACGAGUCCCGUUCGCCGUCGUGGAGGAGGCGCGUGCCGCGCCCUACACUUGGCCCCUGGGAGGAGGGCGGGCAGCGGCUCGCCCCCACGGCCGCCGCUCGCCGCCGGGGAGGCAUCCGUGGUGGCGGAUCCGCGCCCAACGCUCAUCCCCGGCAGGUGGCUCACCCCCACAGAUUUUAUUUCUGCGAAUCGUUGAUUAUUCCUGGUUUUGUGUGCAGUUAAGGAGGACUACAGCAGAUUAAGAGCUCUCAGCUACAUGGGCGCUGAUGUGUUCAUCCUGAAGAUAAGUUCCCCAUCCUGCUGUUUACUUGUUUCCAUUGUAUGAGAUAUAUGUGACUGUCUAUACUUGAGAGUAAACUUCACUGUUGAAGAAUUGAAGAGAGAGAUUUCUGAUCAUGAUGCAGAGAAAUAAGUCUGUUAUUCUUCUCGUUUUGUUAUCUCUGUAGUCUGAUGAACUCUCUGAAGGUGCUCACUCUAGGUUUGUGGCGGCUGCUUUAUGUCAUCUCCUUUAUUUCACUCUGUUUUUUGAAGCGAAAAAAGUUGGACCAAUCAUUCAUAUUUGUGCCAUUGAGUAGAUAGAGCCAUUAAGCUUACUGAACGUACUGUCAAUUUCUGACAUGUACUCCUGUAUUCUUUGGUGCUACUGGUUUUCAGGUUCGGAAAGCUGCCUUACUAUUGGCUGACUUUGUUUUGCACUAAAGCUUUACAUCGUCCAUCUUUGAUGGUGUUACUGCCAUAAGGUCCUGCAUGCGGAGGUAAAGAAGACUCACAGGACCUGUAGAUGUGGCUUGCUUCUUGAUAUGUACAUGCUGUUCUUGUGAAAUUAUGUACAAACAAGAAAUUCAGAACUUGAGCUUUGUGAUGCUAUGUAUAAGUUGACUUACAGUGCUUUGAAUAUUUGAUUGGCUUGGCGGCUGUGAGUUUUCCUCAA